UACGUAGGGUGCGAGCGUUAAUCGGAAUUACUGGGCGUAAAGCGUGCGUAGACGGUUAUUUAAGUCAGAUGUGAAAGCCCCGGGCUCAACCUGGGAAUUGCAUUUGAGACUGAAUAGCUAGGGUACGGUAGAGGGAAGCGGAAUUUCCGGUGUAGCGGUGAAAUGCGUAGAUAUCGGAAGGAACAUCAGUGGCGAAAGCGGCUUCCUGGACCAGUACCGACGUCAGGCACGAAAGCGUGGGGAGCAAACAGG
rnacentral:rRNA from 1 species